rnacentral:rRNA from 1 species
UACGAAUGGGGCUAGCGUUGCUCGGAAUUACUGGGCGUAAAGGGCGCGUAGGCGGCUCAUACAGUCAGGCGUGAAAUUCCUGGGCUCAACCUGGGGACUGCGCUUGAGACGUGUGGGCUUGAGUGGGGAAGAGGGUCGUGGAAUUCCCAGUGUAGAGGUGAAAUUCGUAGAUAUUGGGAAGAACACCGGUGGCGAAGGCGGCGACCUGGUCCUUGACUGACGCUGAGGCGCGAAAGCGUGGGGAGCAAACAGG